GAGUAGCUGGGGUUACAGGUGCAUGCCACCACGCCUGGAUAAUUUUUUGUAUUUCUAGUAGAGAUGGGGUUUCACCAUGUUGGUCAGUCUGGUCUUGAACUCCUGACCUCAAGUGAUCCACCCACCUCGGCCCCCCAAAGUACUGGGAUUACAGGUGUGAGCCACCGCGCCUGGCCAAGGGUCUUCUUUUUAAGGGUGAAUAAUGUUUUGUUGUGUGUGCGUGUGUGUGUGUGCGUAUGCCACAUUUUCUUUUUCCAUUCAUCUGUUGAUGGAGACUUAGAUUGUUUCCGUAUCUUGGCGAUUGGGAGUAAUGCCGCAGUGAAUAUUGGAGUGCAGAUGUCUUUAUGAGGUGUGAUUUGAUCUCCAUUGAGUAUGUGUCCAGAAGAGGGAUAGCUGGGUCUAUGUAAUGUAUACUGAUAAGCAGCACAGAGUGGGCACAUAGGAUAGCAUAGAUGCCAUUUUUCUCACAGAUAGUUUGCCGACCUCUUCCUAGAGUUACGUUUUUCUUGUUCCUGAGACAAUAAUGUGGCUGUAAGUACUAAUAGAGACAGUGGCAUUUGUGGGUUGCUUAUGAUCUGCCAGCCCCUGCGUUAAGUGUUCUCUGUGUCUGUUUCAGAUGGGUCUGCUGUGUGCAGAGGCUCCAUGGGAUGUGUUGUCUUCAUAGUAGCAGGGCGCUGGACCAUGGGUCCGCAAGGUCUCAGCCUUAGAUCCAAGGACAGUCCAAGGAAGUCCUAAGACCAUGGAGUUGGUGAUCUGGGAUCUGGGUUUGCUGAUAUUUCUCACCGUGGUGAGUUGAUGCCAAGAGCCAGAACCCACAGCCAGAGGCUCAGCUGGUCCGUGUUUAUGCAGAUGGGAACCUCAAAUCACUGGUCUCACUUGUCCUUUGUUUCAGAAUCUCUUGGUGGUGUUUGUGGGCACGAGAGGGGCAGAGAAUGGAGAGUGAGGCUACCACAUGAAGCGUCACCAGAGCUGCUCCCUGCUGCCUGCUCAGAGCACCCCGGAUCCACUGUUCAAUCUGCACAAGAUUCGGGGUCCAGACAUGGGAGACUUCAGCUGCCUCAGAGGACCGUGGACAGGGAAGGCCAGCCUCGCAUCCCUCUGUCCAUGCCUGGAAUGACUUUAAUAACCAAGAGUUUUAUUUUUGAAUUUGUAGCUGUCGUUCACUUUUUACCCACCCAUUCAAUAAACCUUACAGAAUUGC
rnacentral:lncRNA from 1 species